GCAGUGACGCACGGCUCUGCGCGCGCCCUGGAGACGCGUAACGCGCGAGCGUCCUCCGGCCGGCCCCUUCCUCGUCGUCCUCGUCGUCCUCGUCGUCCUCGCAAAUGCGGACUCAGAGCAAAGCAGCUCCCUUUGGCACGGGGAGGAGCGCCGCUAACUCGACCACGCUCGCUCCCGUGAGGCGGCUCGCUUGCCGGCGAUCUCCGACGGACGGCUCGCUAGGAGAAAUGAGAAAAUGGAACCGAGGGAGCUUGUGAAAGAGGAGAUCCUUGAGACAAAGCGCAGUGCCAGCCAGAAGCUCAGCCUCGGAUACCUGCACGUGGCCGUCAGACAGAAGAUGGGCAUGAAGACGAGAGCAGAGACAGACCCUACAUUGCACCAAGGCCACGUCAGCUAUGCAGGAGACAGUGGACCUGCAAAUGCAACAAGAAACAGGAAGCUCUUCUUUAACGUCCGUUGUUGCCUUCGUCCUCCCAGCGGCU
rnacentral:lncRNA from 7 species